rnacentral:rRNA from 1 species
AUACGGAGGGUGCGAACGUUAAUCGGAAUUACUGGGCGUAAAGCGCGCGUAGGCGGCUUUGUAAGUCGGAUGUGAAAGCCCUGGGCUCAACCUGGGAAUGGCAUUCGAUACUGCAGAGCUAGAGUAUGGGAGAGGGAAGUGGAAUUUCCGGUGUAGCGGUGAAAUGCGUAGAUAUCGGAAGGAACACCAGUGGCGAAGGCGACUUCCUGGGCCAAUACUGACGCUGAGGUGCGAAAGCGUGGGGAGCAAACAGGAUUAGAAACCCCAGUAGUCC